UUCCGGGGCACCAGGCACAGAUUUCCUUUCCAUGUGCACCCACCCUUUUCCCAGCACAAUGCUUUGCCCACAGAAUGUUUGCAAUACUUCUUACGAGAAUGUACGAGAGCAAAUGUAUCUGAUGACGCCAGUUGAAGAUGUAAGAUGUGGAUGCCACUAACCUAAGAGGACAGAAGACUGGAUGGAAGCACUUGAACGGUUCUCUUCUUGGGGGACAAGUGUAUUAUCUGGUAAAAUUAAUGUAAGUGGUUGUAGGAAAAGGUAUAGUUUAAGGAAGGAUCAGUAGACAGGUUCUUUUAUUUUACAUGGGAGGAGGAUGGUUCUCUUUUCUAUGAUCAUUUUUGGUGGAUUUCAUAUACUUCUGCCUUAUACCUUGAAGCUGGACAGACAAAUCUAGGAAACCUACUAGCCAGAGAUUAAUCAGAAUGGCCUACAGCUCUUCAGCCUUACUGUAGCAAGGUCCUCGGACCCCUUUGCUCUGUUCUGCCCUUGACCUUGGGUCUUCUUCCAUUCUGUUUCCUACCUGACUCUUGCUUAUGUUGACUUGGCCUUGUGUCUCAGAUCCUGUUUUUCUUUUCACCUUGAUGACUAGUUGGACUUUCAGUGCCCUCUCUGGGACACCCGUGGCUCUUCCAGCCUCAAGCUGGGUCUGUAAUCUUGUUUGCAAAACAUUCCCCAGCUGGACCUCCAAGGCUCCACCGCAGGAGAGGAUCAGGUGAUUUCAAUGUUCUGUGAAGGCCAAAGGCCAGCAUUAGGAAACUCCCAGGGCUGUGUAACCAGUGAUUAUGAAAACCCGGUUGCAAAGCAGCAGAGCAUGUGUGGCGGAAGCUAAGAGCACACAACAUUUGGCAUUUUGGUUGUGAGGAGUACUCUUCAGCGUCAUGAAAGACAAAACGAGGCUUUGGGAACAGUCCAGGUAAAAGGAGCUGGGAGAGACAUGGCUACCCAAUGCCACGUGUGAUCCUGGAUUGCUUUGACCGACUGAAGGGCACCAAUGGGCCAAAUCGAAUCUCCGGAUCUGGAGAUUAGCAGAGAACAGAGAACUGCGGAGAGAGAUUCGGGGCAGGGCAUUUGGAUAACGGACGAAUGUACCGAGAGCUUGAGAUGCUUCCGG